GUGAGUAACACGUGGGUAACCUGCCUGUAAGACUGGGAUAACUCCGGGAAACCGGGGCUAAUACCGGAUGCUUGAUUGAACCGCAUGGUUCAAUCAUAAAAGGUGGCUUUUAGCUACCACUUGCAGAUGGACCCGCGGCGCAUUAGCUAGUUGGUGAGGUAACGGCUCACCAAGGCGACGAUGCGUAGCCGACCUGAGAGGGUGAUCGGCCACACUGGGACUGAGACACGGCCCAGACUCCUACGGGAGGCAGCAGUAGGGAAUCUUCCGCAAUGGACGAAAGUCUGACGGAGCAACGCCGCGUGAGUGAUGAAGGUUUUCGGAUCGUAAAACUCUGUUGUUAGGGAAGAACAAGUACCGUUCGAAUAGGGCGGCACCUUGACGGUACCUAACCAGAAAGCCACGGCUAACUACGUGCCAGCAGCCGCGGUAAUACGUAGGUGGCAAGCGUUGUCCGGAAUUAUUGGGCGUAAAGCGCGCGCAGGCGGUUUCUUAAGUCUGAUGUGAAAGCCCCCGGCUCAACCGGGGAGGGUCAUUGGAAACUGGGGAACUUGAGUGCAGAAGAGGAGAGUGGAAUUCCACGUGUAGCGGUGAAAUGCGUAGAGAUGUGGAGGAACACCAGUGGCGAAGGCGACUCUCUGGUCUGUAACUGACGCUGAGGCGCGAAAGCGUGGGGAGCGAACAGGAUUAGAUACCCUGGUAGUCCACGCCGUAACGAUGAGUGCUAAGUGUUAGAGGGUUUCCGCCCUUUAGUGCUGCAG
rnacentral:rRNA from 1 species